AAAAACUGCAAAGAAGAAGAAAAAACAA
rnacentral:sRNA from 1 species